CCUAUGGGCGGCAGCAGUGGGGAAUAUUGGGCAAUGGGCGCAAGCCUUACCCAGCAAUACCGCGUGAGUGAAGAAGGUCUUCGGAUUGUAAAGCUCUUUGAUCAGGGACGAACAGAUGACGGUACCUGAAGAACUAGCCCCGGCUAACUACGUGCCAGCAGCCCCGGUAAAACGUAGGGGGGGAGGGUUGUCCGGAAUGUAUGGGCGGGAAGGGUGGGUAAGCGGGAGAAUAAGUUAGAAGUGGAAUACCCAGGGCUUAACUUGGGGUCUGCUUCUAAGACUGUUGAUCUUGAGUGCGGGAGAGGUUGAUGGAAUUACUAGUGUAGCGGUGGAAUGCGUAGAUAUUAGGAGGAACACCAGAGGCGAAGGCGAUUAACUGGACCGUAACUGACGCUGAGGCACGAAAGUGUGGGUAGCAAACAGGAUUAGAUACCCGGGUAGUC
rnacentral:rRNA from 1 species